AGUAAAUAUAAAUUAUGAAAGCAAAAAACUAUGGCGGUACCUUAAGCUUUUCAGAGGAAUUUGCUCUUUAAUGGAUAAAACACCUUAAUCUUACUUAAAUUGGUUAAAACAGUUUGUAUACCACUAUAAAAAUAGUAAUAUGUAAUUAUUAUUAAAAUUCAAUUUUUUGAAAAAAAUUAAGUCAAGGUGCAGCAAAAAUUUAAGAAUGAAGUGAAUUACAAUGCUUCUAAGAAAGAAAAAUUGAAAUUAAUUAUAGGAUUUGAAAGUAAAAUUAAAAUAGAAAGUUAAUUUAAAUUAAGCUCUAAGAUAUGUACAUA
rnacentral:rRNA from 1 species